AGGAAUAAGUUGCUGCCAGAUACUUCUAACAAAACCACAGCCAAGGGAACGGACUUGGCAAACACAGUGGAAGAAAGAAAACCCUGCUGAGCUUGAUUUUAGUCCGAUUCUGUGAACAGCCAUGUCAGGUAGAGAUGAGUGGGAGGCAUUUUGCAGCAGUGAAAUACCACGAAUUUCAUCGAUUCUUUACUUAUUCGGUAGGACGAGAAUUGAGCCACAUCAGCCUCGAAAUUUUCGAUCUAAGCAUAGCUGUUAGGCCCGUUACGUGACCCUUGACUGUAGCAGCGAUGGACAGGGGAGAAACACCAGCAGUUUA
rfam:Gongylonema pulchrum genome assembly, scaffold: GPTH_contig0029448